rnacentral:rRNA from 1 species
UACGAAGGGGGCUAGCGUUGCUCGGAAUCACUGGGCGUAAAGGGUGCGUAGGCGGGCAGGUAAGUCAGUGGUGAAAUCUCCGAGCUUAACUCGGAAACUGCCGUUGAUACUAUUUGUCUUGAAUAUUGUGGAGGUAAGCGGAAUAUGUCAUGUAGCGGUGAAAUGCUUAGAUAUGACAUAGAACACCAAUUGCGAAGGCAGCUUACUACACAACGAUUGACGCUGAGGCACGAAAGCGUGGGGAUCAAACAGG